UACGUAGGUGGCAAGCGUUGUCCGGAUUUAUUGGGUUUAAAGGGUGCGUAGGCGGCCCUGUAAGUCAGUGGUGAAAUCUCUUUGCUUAACAAAGAAACUGCCAUUGAUACUGCAAGUCUAGAGUAUAGAUGACGUUGGCGGAAUAUGACAUGUAGUGGUGAAAUACUUAGAUAUGUCAUAGAACACCGAUUGCGAAGGCAGCUAACGAAACUAUAACUGACGCUGAGGCACGAAAGUGCGGGGAUCAAACAGG
rnacentral:rRNA from 1 species